GAGAUAUUAGUAAAACCAUUACAUAAUCUUGUCAAGAUUAAAUCACGAGCCAAACGCCCGUAUAUCUCU
ensembl:Mt_tRNA